rnacentral:rRNA from 1 species
GAUCAUGGCUCAGAUUGAACGCUGGCGGCAGGCUUAACACAUGCAAGUCGAACGGUAGCAGGAGAAAGCUUGCUUUCUUGCUGACGAGUGGCGGACGGGUGAGUAAUGCUUGGGAAUCUGGCUUAUGGAGGGGGAUAACUACGGGAAACUGUAGCUAAUACCGCGUAGUGUCGAGAGACGAAAGUGCGGGACCGAAAGGCCGCAUGCCAUGAGAUGAGCCCAAGUGGGAUUAGG